AAAUUAAUAAAAAAUAUUUAAGAAAAUACAAAACAACAAAAUUGCAAAAAUUUUAACUAAAAUGAGUAAAAACAAAAAAUAAAAAAUUGAAAUCUAAUUUAAAAUAAAUAAGAACUAUAAGAGUUUAUCAAUGAUACUAAAACUAAAAAAACUAAUGAAAAAAAGACACUGCUUUACACAAAGUUAACUAAAACUAAAACCAUAAAAUAAACAUUUUCAUAAUUUGAAAUAAAAUAAAAUAUAUUGAAAACAUAAAAGUAUUUUAUUUCAUCUAAUUGUCAAGGCAGCAUUUCUUAUUUUCAUUUAGUUUAACUUAAAUUACUAAUAUAAUUAAAACUAAAUAAACCAAGAAAUAAAAUUAAUAAAAACUACACAGACAUAUAUAUUAGGUACUAAUAAUGUCAAAAAUGCAAAACAAAAUUACAAAAAAUUUAAUUAAAAUUAAAGUGAAAUCAUAAAAAAUAAAAUCGAAUUUAAAAUAUUAACAGGAACUAUAAUAGUAUAUCAGUGAUGCUAAUAGAACACAGCUUUAGACAAAAUCAUUCACAUACAGUAGAAGAACAGAGAUAUAAAAUUUAAAUAUGAUAGUAGAUGAGAAAUGCUGUGAAUUUGUGAAUUUCAGAAUUUCAGACAUUGUUUCUCUAAUUCUCUCUAUUUUCUUCUAUUGAGACAUUAAAGAGGUUUGAACGCUCUCAUACUGUAGUAAAACAUUAAACCACACAGACUCUUAUCUGUUUCCAGGUAAACUGCGGCUCAGGACGCUCUGAAUGGAGUCCAGCAAGCUCGUAAUUUUACAUGUGUCCUUUGCACCACGCUUGUGACUCGGGUGGAAAUGGGUGUCAAAGGUGAGCGCAAAUCUGACAAAUACAGAAAUACAGACAGCAGGUCAAGGACGGCAGGUAGUUCAAGAAGUGAUUAUCUCAGUGGAAAAAUGGUCCAGAUGUCUCCUGCAUCCCUGCAGAUUCAUGUUCUCUUUUUUUAAGUAUCACAGCAGGAGCGGCCCAGAAUGACCUAGAUCUGUAAAGGAGCGACGGCGGGACGUGCUGAGACGCUUACAGACAGAAAUACUGCUUAUUUUAGUGUUCCACAUGCACUUUUACGUAAAAAGUUUUUAUUAGACUCACUGUAAUUCAUUGUUGGUCAUAUUUAGUAUUCAACCAAUAAAGGGCAUGAUAUCAGCUGCUGUAAUGUCUAU
ensembl:lncRNA